GACGAACGCUGGCGGCGUGCUUAACACAUGCAAGUCGAACGGAAAGGCCCUGCUUUUGUGGGGUGCUCGAGUGGCGAACGGGUGAGUAACACGUGAGUAACCUGCCCUUGACUUUGGGAUAACUUCAGGAAACUGGGGCUAAUACCGGAUAGGAGCUCCUGCUGCAUGGUGGGGGUUGGAAAGUUUCGGCGGUUGGGGAUGGACUCGCGGCUUAUCAGCUUGUUGGUGGGGUAGUGGCUUACCAAGGCUUUGACGGGUAGCCGGCCUGAGAGGGUGACCGGCAACAUUGGGACUGAGAUACGGCCCAGAAUCCUACGGGAGGCAGCAGUGGGGAAUAUUGCACAAUGGGCGGAAGCCUGAUGCAGCAACGCCGCGUGCGGGAUGACGGCCUUCGGGUUGUAAACCGCUUUCGCCGGUGACGAAGCGUGAGUGACGGUAAUGGGUAAAGAAGCACCGGCUAACUACGUG
rnacentral:rRNA from 1 species